GGUCCUAUAGUGUAGUGGUUAUCACUUUCGGUUUUGAUCGGACAACCCCAGUUCGAAUCAGGUAGGACCU
rnacentral:tRNA from 1 species